UGCAUGUAAAAUAUUUUUUUUUUCUGGUGGAGAGGACUGACCGUAGUCCCAUCUUCUGCAAGACAGAUCAGGGCUCUGAGUGCUGCGAGCUGAUGUGCAGCGGGGCCGACCUCCACCCACAGCCCGCGUCUGCUUGGAGAAUCGGGAUUGACCCAAACGGAGCUCCCUGGGCUGCCUCUCCCUGUGUGAAGACAGUGACAGGGUGCAGAAGUGGGGUUGGGACACGUGUGAGAAAGCAUGGCAUUCCUGACAUCCGUGUCCCUCGCUGUGACCCCCGCAGUGCAUGGUGUCCAGGGAUCCCGUUCAGGGAAUGGUGGACACGCUGCUCCGAGGGGGUGGUGUGGUGUGGACAGACACACGCCAGCAAGGACGGCCGUACGCACACCAGCCACGUUUGGGCGCUGGACAAGCAGCCGGUUCCUGUGCGAGAGCCGGGCAGCCUGGCGCUCAUCCGCUCCCCGCUCCCCUCUCCCCUUCCUGUUCUCCCGGGGGCUCAGCUUCCACACCUGCACCCCAGCACCCCGGCGGGGUGAGAAAUGGGCUCCCUCCAGCUCGCAGCGUUCACAAACCGGGAGACAGGGCUCACCACAGACACCCCGGGGCUCGACUUCCCACACGGUCUCUGAAGGCCCCCACAGCCUUUCUCUCUGUAGCCCCCGUGUAGGUGGGCGGCUGUGCAGCUGUCCCCACAGCGGCGGGUGUGACGCCGCCUCUCCCACGCACUGCAGAACCCCGCAAAGCCCCGCCUUGCCUGGCUCUGCAGAGAUGGAGGAAGGCCAAGGCCAGCUCGCCAUCACACCAGUAGCCAGCCUUGUUCCACCGUGUCUUUAUCUUCCUUUAUUUGUUUUUAUUUUAUUUUUUUGGCAGGCAGAGUUAGACAGUGAGAGAGAGAGAGAGAGAGAGAGACAGAGAGAAAGGUCUUCCUUUUCCAUUGGUUCACCCCCCAAAUGGCCGUCACGGCUGGCAUGCUGCACCAAUCAGAAGCCAGGAGCCAAGUGCUUCCUCCUGGUCUCCCAUGCGGGUGCAGGGCCCAGGCACUUAGGCCACCCUCCACUGCCCUCCUGGGCCACAGCAGAGAGCUGGACUGGAAGAGGAGUGAC
rnacentral:lncRNA from 1 species